rnacentral:siRNA from 1 species
AAACCAGAGUCGGGACGAUGUUC